rnacentral:tRNA from 1 species
GCGGCUGUGGCUCAGCUGGAUAGAGCACCAGACUACGAAUCUGGGGGUCGCAGGUUCGAAUCCUGCCAGCCGUACCA